rnacentral:rRNA from 1 species
AGAGUUUACUCUUUAUGGUGGCGACCGGCGGACGGGUGCGUAACGCGUAUGCAACCUGCCUGACACAGGGGGAUAAUCCGAAGAAAUUUGGUCUAAUACCCCAUAAUACCGAUAUAGGCAUCUAUGUUGGUUGAAAGCUUUGGUGGUGUCAGAUGGGCAUGCGUUGUAUUAGCUAGUUGGUGAGGUAACGGCUCACCAAGGCGACGAUACAUAGCCGACCUGAGAGGGUGAUCGGCCACACUGGGACUGAGACACGGCCCAGACUCCUACGGGAGGCAGCAGUAGGGAAUCUUCGGCAAUGGGGGCAACCCUGACCGAGCAACGCCGCGUGAGUGAAGAAGGUUUUCGGAUCGUAAAGCUCUGUUGUAAGUCAAGAACGAGUGUGAGAGUGGAAAGUUCACACUGUGACGGUAGCUUACCAGAAAGGGACGGCUAACUACGUGCCAGCAGCCGCGGUAAUACGUAGGUCCCGAGCGUUGUCCGGAUUUAUUGGGCGUAAAGCGAGCGCAGGCGGUUUGAUAAGUCUGAAGUUAAAGGCUGUGGCUCAACCAUAGUUCGCUUUGGAAACUGUCAAACUUGAGUGCAGAAGGGGAGAGUGGAAUUCCAUGUGUAGCGGUGAAAUGCGUAGAUAUAUGGAGGAACACCGGUGGCGAAAGCGGCUCUCUGGUCUGUAACUGACGCUGAGGCUCGAAAGCGUGGGGAGCAAACAGGAUUAGAUACCCUGGUAGUCCACGCUGUAAACGAUGAUUACUAGGUGUGGGGGGAUUGACCCCUUCCGUGCCGCAGUUAACACAAUAAGUAAUCCACCUGGGGAGUACGACCGCAAGGUUG